rnacentral:lncRNA from 1 species
UCGUGGAUUCCUGCAGCCUGGAUGAAGACAGGAGACAGAGGACCGACGCUUCCUGCCUUUCUCACUGACAGGAAUGUUCAGUUGGAGCUCUGCCAGCUCCCCUGGGGGCUGCCUCUGAAACGGGGUUGUCUCCUGCCGCCUGCGCUCCGCUUGCUGCUCCAACACUCAGGCCCAGAGAGCUGAGCUAAGAGGGGGACAAAAGGGAUCACCUUGUCCCUGGAAAUUGGAAACGAGGCUUGAUUCUGAGAUGUGGUC